CGGUUAAAAAGCUCGUAGUUGGAUCUCGGCGGGCAGGGGGUGGUUCGCUCUUCAGCGCUACUGCCCCGCUUUGCCCGUGUGAUUGGCGGAGGUUUCGGGGUGCUCUUCGUUGAGUGACUCGGAGCGCCGUCAGGUUUACUUUGAAAAAAUUAGAGUGCUCAAAGCAGGCUUUUCACGCUUGAAUAUUCGUGCACGGAAUAAUGGAAUAGGAACUCGUUUCUAUUUUGUUGGUUUUCGGAAAUCGAGUUAAUGAUUAACAGGGACAAUUGGGGGCAUUAGUAUUCAGACGACAGAGGUGAAAUUCUUGGACCGUCUGAAGACUGACUACUGCGAAAGCAUUUGCCAAGAGUGUUUUCAUUAAUCAAGAACGAAAGUUAGAGGUUCGAAGGCGAUCAGAUACCGCCCUAGUUCUAACCAUAAACGAUGCCAGCUAGCGAUCUGCCGAGUUUUUUUUGUAGGCUCCGCAGGAAGCUUUCGGGAAACCAAAGCUUUUGGGUUCCGGGGGAAGUAUGGUUGCAAAGCUGAAACUUAAAGGAAUUGACGGAAGGGCACCACCAGGAGUGGAGCCUGCAGCUUAAUUUGAUUCAACACGGGGAAACUUAUCAGGUCCAGACAUAAUA
rnacentral:rRNA from 1 species